UCCAGACUCCUACGGGAGGCAGCAGUGGGAAUAUUGCACAAUGGGGGAAACCCUGAUGCAGCGACGCCGCGUGGGUGAAGGAGCGUUUCGGCGCGUAAAGCCCUAUCGGCAGGGAAGAAGAUGACGGUACCUGACCAAGAAGCCCCGGCUAACUACGUGCCAGCAACCGCGGUAAUACGUAGGGGGCAAGCGUUAUCCGGAUUUACUGGGUGUAAAGGGAGCGUAGACGGCGAUGCAAGUCUGAAGUGAAAGGCGGGGGCCCAACCCCCGGACUGCUUUGGAAACUGUAUAGCUGGAGUGCAGGAGAGGUAAGUGGAAUUCCUAGUGUAGCGGUGAAAUGCGUAGAUAUUAGGAGGAACACCAGUGGCGAGGGCGGCUUACUGGACUGUAACUGACGUUGAGGCUCGAAAGCGUGGGGAGCAAACAGGAUUAGAUACCCUAGUAGU
rnacentral:rRNA from 1 species